rnacentral:rRNA from 1 species
AGAAUCAAUGCUGGCGGCGUGCCUCAGACAUGCAAGUCGAACGCGAAAGUUCCCUUCGGGGGAUGAGUAGAGUGGCGCACGGGUGAGUAACACGUAGGUAAUCUACCUUUGGAUGGGGAAUAACAACCGGAAACGGUUGCUAAUACCGCAUAAUGCAGCGGCACCUAAUGGUGACAGUUGUUAAAGCGGGGGAUCGAAAGACCUCGCGUCUGAAGAGGAGCCUGGCGGCGGAUUAGCUAGUUGGUAAGGUAACGGCUUACCAAGGCUACGAUCCAUA